AACGAACGCUGGCGGCGCGCCUAAUACAUGCAAGUCGAGCGAGAAGGUGUAGCAAUACACUUGUAAAGCGGCGAACGGGUGAGGAAUGCAUGGGUAACCUACCCUCGAGUGGGGAAUAACUAGCCGAAAGGUUAGCUAAUACCGCAUACGUUUCCGGAACUUCGGUUUCGGAAAGAAAGCAAUACCGUGGGUAUUGCGCUCCUGGAUGGGCUCAUGUCCUAUCAGCUUGUUGGUGAGGUAACGGCUCACCAAGGCUUCGACGGGUAGCUGGUCUGAGAGGACGAUCAGCCACACUGGCACUGCGACACGGGCCAGACUCCUACGGGAGGCAGCAGUAAGGAAUAUUGCGCAAUGGGCGAAAGCCUGACGCAGCGACGCCGCGUGGGUGAUGAAGGCC
rnacentral:rRNA from 1 species